rnacentral:rRNA from 1 species
CUGGCUCAGGACGAACGCUGGCGGCGUGCUUAACACAUGCAAGUCGAACGAUGAAGCCCUUUCGGGGGUGGAUUA